rfam:Rhizobacter sp. Root1221 contig_1, whole genome shotgun sequence.
CAAGUCCACCGCAAUGAAGGAGUAGCGAUCCACAUUGGCCCCGAGCCGUGCUCAGGAAUCCGCGAUGGGUGUCGGCGAAGCGUCGGUAGGGGGACGAAAGAAUCAGCGCU